rnacentral:rRNA from 1 species
CUUUUUUAAAUUCAAUAAUUGAAUUUAUUUUUAUUUGUGAGGAAACAAUAAUAAAUAUUAAGGACAAGAAGACCCUAAGAAUUUUAAAAGAAUUAAUAUUUGAAUCAAAAUUUAUAUCUUUUUAAUUGGGGCGAUUAAGAAAUAUUAAUAACUUUCUUUACAAUACCAAAAUGAACCGUUAAUAGCGGUAAUAUGAUAAAAAUACUCUAGGGAUAACAGCGUAAUAAUUUUUGAUAGUUCAUAUAGACAAAAUAGUUUGCGACCUCGAUGUUGGAUUAGGAUACUUUUUUAAUGAAGAAGUUAAAAUAAGGAGUUUGUUCAACUUUUAAAAUCCUA